rnacentral:lncRNA from 1 species
UGGAUUAUCCAAGUCACACCAGUGAUGUCGCAAGGUGCUGUAAACUCAGAUGAGCACCCAGGCUUACUUUAAAACCAAAUUAAAAUAUCCUAAAGGCAACAGUAGCCACUGACAAUUGGUAAGAAAUGUCCACGUACGCAGGACAAACAGCACAAACAUCACAAGUUUGUGAAUUUUGGUGUCAGGGGGUCCUUUAAAACAUUUGAAAAGUUAACUAUUUGCUUAGUUUAACUAGCAGGAUGUCAAGGACUCCUGACAGCUUCCCAACCAGACUGCGAAUCCUUUGUGCACCCAUACUUAUCUUUUUUUUUUCUUCUUUAUGCAUAACAGCACAAACGUUUAUGCCUUGUAUACGGGUUUUAUGCCAAACCCAUUUACUGGAACCUCGACCCUCUCAAAUUCUUACACCUUUUCACUAUGUCUAAGAAAUGUACUCCCAACAUUCUCCAGCAGGAAAAAAUUCUUUUGGAUACAUAAGGAUCACGUCAGUCAAUGCAACUGCCAUAUCAACUGCACUGCACUGUUUUUAUUUUUAAAGUGGAAUUCAGGCAGUUUUUUUGUGAGAUAUGUGGUUGUGCCCACACAAUCAGGACAGCUGGUCCAAAUUUGCGAGUCUCGAAGCUCAAUUAGGAUACUUGGAAGGUAUGCGUCAUACGUCUCACUUGCAACGUGUACUGUCUAGAAGCUGUAGUCUUUUUAACCCUUUGAGGGUUUAGGCCGUACAUGUACAUGUUUAAAACGUACACGUACAUGCCUGUAUGUUUAAAACGCGUGCCUUUCUUUAUCGUUUCUCUUGCUUGGCAUGUGCUGCCACACUUCGGGAAUGUGUGACAUUUUUUUCAUGUGCCGAUGUCUCUCCGUUGUUAUUGAUUGUUUGUUUGUUUUUUCUUUCCAAAGCGGCGCGCCAGCCUUCGUAUGUGCAUUCGAGCACGGGCACGGUGACUGGUUUCACACGCCUUUUCUGAUCAUUUCUCUUGCUUGGCAUGUGCUGCCACACUUCGAGAAUACCUGGAAUUUUUGUCAUGCACUGAUGUCACUCCGUUGUUUUUUUUUUUCUUUCCAAAAGCGGCGCACCGGCUUUCAUUUGUGCAUCCAAGCGUGCGCACACAGUGCGGCUCGUUUCAGUUUCGUCCUUCGGGUGGUUAUCACUUCUUGCACCCGCAAAGCCCAGGCUUACUGCUGUCUGGUUUCUAAUCUCUCAAAGGGUAACCACUUGUUGCUCUCUCGUUUAUUGUUCCCCAGGGCAUGAUUACAUCUGUUUCCGUGCGGCACUAAAUUACACAUGCGAUGCCGCCGUGGUUGCGUUUCCUGUUUUGGAGACUUGGAAAAACUAACUCUGUCUCGUUGGCGAUACGAUGAAGGAUUAUUAUAACUUUUUCACUCGUUUUGUUUUCUGGACGGACGCACAACCAUACAGUUUUCUUCUGUGUGCUCACUUACAGUUUGCUUACGCACUGGAAGUGCGCGCCGGUUGCUC